GGUUUAAUUUGAAGCAACGCGAAGAACCUUACCAAAUCUUGACAUCCUUUGACCACUCUAGAGAUAGAGCUUUCCCCUUCGGGGGACAAAGUGACAGGUGGUGCAUGGUUGUCGUCAGCUCGUGUCGUGAGAUGUUGGGUUAAGUCCCGCAACGAGCGCAACCCUUAAACUUAGUUGCCAGCAUUUAGUUGGGCACUCUAGGUUGACUGCCGGUGACAAACCGGAGGAAGGUGGGGAUGACGUCAAAUCAUCAUGCCCCUUAUGAUUUGGGGUACACACGUGCUACAAUGGACAAUACAAAGGGCAGAUAAACCGCGAGGUCAUGCAAAUCCCAUAAAGUUGUUCUCAGUUCGGAUUGUAGUCUGCAACUCGACUACAUGAAGCUGGAAUCGCUAGUAAUCGUAGAUCAGCAUGGUACGGUGAAU
rnacentral:rRNA from 1 species